AGAGUUUGAUCAUGGCUCAGGACGAACGCUGGCGGCGCGCCUAACACAUGCAAGUCGAACGGAGUUAUUCCGAAUGAAGUUUUCGGACGGAUUUUGGAAUAACUUAGUGGCGAACGGGUGAGUAACGCGUGAGUAACCUGCCCCGAAGUGGGGGACAACAGUUGGAAACGACUGCUAAUACCGCAUAAGCCCACGGCACCGCAUGGUGCUGAGGGAAAAGGACUUCGGUUUGCUUCGGGAUGGACUCGCGUCCAAUUAGCUAGUUGGUGAGGUAACAGCCCACCAAGGCGACGAUUGGUAGCCGGACUGAGAGGUUGAACGGCCACAUUGGGACUGAGACACGGCCCAGACUCCUACGGGAGGCAGCAGUGGGGGAUAUUGCACAAUGGGGGAAACCCUGAUGCAGCGACGCCGCGUGGAGGAAGAAGGUUUUCGGAUUGUAAACUCCUGUCGUACGGGACGAUAAUGACGGUACCGUACAAGAAAGCCACGGCUAACUACGUGCCAGCAGCCGCGGUAAAACGUAGGUGGCAAGCGUUGUCCGGAAUUACUGGGUGUAAAGGGAGCGCAGGCGGGGCGGCAAGUUGGAAGUGAAAUCUAUGGGCUCAACCCAUAAACUGCUUUCAAAACUGCUGGUCUUGAGUAGUGCAGAGGUAGGCGGAAUUCCCGGUGUAGCGGUGGAAUGCGUAGAUAUCGGGAGGAACACCAGUGGCGAAGGCGGCCUACUGGGCACCAACUGACGCUGAGGCUCGAAAGCAUGGGUAGCAAACAGGAUUAGAUACCCUGGUAGUCC
rnacentral:rRNA from 1 species